UACAGGGGGUGCAAGCGUUGUUCGGAAUUACUGGGCGUAAAGCGCGGGCAGGUGGCCCUUUAAGUCCUUUGUGAAAUCCCGGAGCUCAACUCCGGAUGUGCAGAGGAUACUGGAGGGCUUGAGACUGGUAGAGGCGAGCGGAAUUCCUGGUGUAGCGGUGAAAUGCGCAGAUAUCAGGAGGAACACCGGUGGCGAAGGCGGGACUCUGGGCCGAUACUGACGCUGAGGAGCGAAAGCGUGGGGAGCGAACAGG
rnacentral:rRNA from 1 species